rnacentral:rRNA from 1 species
CCUACGGGUGGCAGCAGUGGGGAAUCUUGCACAAUGGGGGAAACCCUGAUGCAGCGAUGCCGCGUGAGUGAAGAAGGCCUUUGGGUUGUAAAACACUUUAAGUUGGGAAGAAAAGUUAUUGGCUAAUACCCAAUGACCGUGACAUUACCUUCAGAAUAAGGACCGGCUAAUUCCGUGCCAGCAGCCGCGGUAAUACGGAAGGUCCAAGCGUUAAUCGGAAUUACUGGGCGUAAAGCGCGCGUAGGUGGUUUAUUAAGUUGGAGGUGAAAUCCCCGAGCUCAACUUGGGAAUUGCCUUCAAAACUGCGUGGCUAGAGUGUGGGAGAGGAAGGUAGAAUUCCAGGUGUAGCGGUGAAAUGCGUAGAUAUCUGGAGGAAUACCGAUGGCGAAGGCAGCCUUCUGGCCUAACACUGACGCUGAGGUGCGAAAGCAUGGGGAGCA